ACUUCAGGGCACUCAACCCGGGAGGGGGCAUGGGGGGUCGAUGAGAGGGACACAGCUGACGGGUCGCUCGAGCGAAAGAAGGGAGCAGUAUUGAUGCAAGAAGACGUGCAAUCCUCAGUUAUUGCAGGACUGAUUUGACAGGUGUCGCGUGGAAAAAAAUAGCUAGAAAGCUGAAAGAAACAGGUAAGAAAAAGCUACAAUAAUUAAAGAUAUUCGUAGAUUUCGAAAACCUAUGGCUGAAGGGAGUUUGUCUGUGGACACCUUUAACUCCCAAACCUUUAAUGAUGGAAAUCUGAAAUGUUCACCACUUUUCCAUCUCCGCGGGCCAUAUACUGGAAAAUUGUUCUGGACCGAAACACUCCAUGAUGCGCUAAAAAUAAAUAUUUUUCAAGGUGUCAAGUGGGGUAUCGUUUGAUAGAUAUGGACCUACGCAGAACAUUUAAUGAAGGUAUUGGCUUAAAGAAGAAAGUAGAAUAAAAAUGUAAAAAUGAGUUUUUUUUUUUGGUUUUUAUGGCAAGCCUACAUGUUUCCAUUCUAUAGGAAUCGCUUCUUUUGGAUUUAGAAAGUAAUCACCAAGUCUAUGACAUAGUCGAACAGCUUGGGCCUGCGUUGUUAAUCCCUAUAGAGUACUGCCGUCAGGCAUUGCUGGCACAGCGAGAGAGGGAGCGAAAUUUGAAGGUUAUUGAUAUCUUCCCUUCCGAAGGCGAAUGAAAUUAUGGAGCCCACAUGCUGCCUUCACCACUGCAAUAACACACUUUUCGUCACAAGCCAUUGGUACCUCGAACACGCGAAAAGCCAGCAUAUCAAAAGCACAUUCAACACUUUUUCGGCCUCUGGAGAGACGAAAGUUGAAAAUUCUUUUUACAUCAUUUAACACUCUCUUCGGAAAAGGCCUAAGUAGAAUCUUGAUAAGUAUUUCCAGGGAGACUAGUAGGGUUUGGAACAUUCAGGCUAUCUGCUUUUCAACGUCAGUGAAAGUAAACAAACUAUCUGCACCUGCCAUAGCCAUUGGUACAGCAGAAAAAAAAAUUAAUUCAUAUUUCUCGAUUCUGUAUUCUUGAAGCACUUUACGCGGAUGUUUUCCAUCGAUGGAGCCAAUACAAUUGUGCAGAUUCCACAGUUCGAAGUAGCGCGGAGUGUAGAUUGCAAAAUUUUCCAAUCUGCUUCACAUGUGGAGCGUAUGAUUUCACCCACUGUAGAUAUGCCUCUGUAGAACUGCAAUGCCAGGUAAACGAAUCUGCUUCCCGUAGCUAGGUACCUGAAAUCCUAAAAAAAUGUAAAUUGAUUCUACUCACAAAUAACUUUCAACUUCAUU